UUUAUGGAGAGUUUGAUCCUGGCUCAGGAUGAACGCUGGCGGCGUGCCUAAUACAUGCAAGUCGAGCGAACGGACGAGAAGCUUGCUUCUCUGAUGUUAGCGGCGGACGGGUGAGUAACACGUGGAUAACCUACCUAUAAGACUGGGAUAACUUCGGGAAACCGGAGCUAAUACCGGAUAAUAUUUUGAACCGCAUGGUUCAAAAGUGAAAGACGGUCUUGCUGUCACUUAUAGAUGGAUCCGCGCUGCAUUAGCUAGUUGGUAAGGUAACGGCUUACCAAGGCAACGAUGCAUAGCCGACCUGAGAGGGUGAUCGGCCACACUGGAACUGAGACACGGUCCAGACUCCUACGGGAGGCAGCAGUAGGGAAUCUUCCGCAAUGGGCGAAAGCCUGACGGAGCAACGCCGCGUGAGUGAUGAAGGUCUUCGGAUCGUAAAACUCUGUUAUUAGGGAAGAACAUAUGUGUAAGUAACUGUGCACAUCUUGACGGUACCUAAUCAGAAAGCCACGGCUAACUACGUGCCAGCAGCCGCGGUAAUACGUAGGUGGCAAGCGUUAUCCGGAAUUAUUGGGCGUAAAGCGCGCGUAGGCGGUUUUUUAAGUCUGAUGUGAAAGCCCACGGCUCAACCGUGGAGGGUCAUUGGAAACUGGAAAACUUGAGUGCAGAAGAGGAAAGUGGAAUUCCAUGUGUAGCGGUGAAAUGCGCAGAGAUAUGGAGGAACACCAGUGGCGAAGGCGACUUUCUGGUCUGUAACUGACGCUGAUGUGCGAAAGCGUGGGGAUCAAACAGGAUUAGAUACCCUGGUAGUCCACGCCGUAAACGAUGAGUGCUAAGUGUUAGGGGUUUCCGCCCCUUAGUGCUGCAGCUAACGCAUUAAGCACUCCGCCUGGGGAGUACGACCGCAAGGUUGAAACUCAAAGGAAUUGACGGGGACCCGCACAAGCGGUGGAGCAUGUGGUUUAAUUCGAAGCAACGCGAAGAACCUUACCAAAUCUUGACAUCCUUUGACAACUCUAGAGAUAGAGCUUUCCCCUUCGGGGACAAAGUGACAGGUGGUGCAUGGUUGUCGUCAGCUCGUGUCGUGAGAUGUUGGGUUAAGUCCCGCAACGAGCGCAACCCUUAAGCUUAGUUGCCAUCAUUAAGUUGGGCACUCUAAGUUGACUGCCGGUGACAAACCGGAGGAAGGUGGGAUGACGUCAAAUCAUCAUGCCCCUUAUGAUUUGGGCUACACACGUGCUACAAUGGACAAUACAAAGGGCAGCGAAACCGUGAGGUCAAGCAAAUCCCAUAAAGUUGUUCUCAGUUCGGAUUGUAGUCUGCAACUCGACUACAUGAAGCUGGAAUCGCUAGUAAUCGUAGAUCAGCAUGCUACGGUGAAUACGUUCCCGGGUCUUGUACACACCGCCCGUCACACCACGAGAGUUUGUAACACCCGAAGCCGGUGGAGUAACCUUUUAGGAGCUAGCCGUCGAAGGUGGGACAAAUGAUUGGGGUGAAGUCGUAACAAGGUAGCCGUAUCGGAAGGUGCGGCUGGAUCACCUCCUUUCU
rnacentral:rRNA from 1 species